ACACCGAUGGUGAAGCGGUUAUCAUGCUUGCCUUCCAUUGGGGAAGAAUACGGCCUGUUGAGCAAGCGGCAGGGGUUCGACUCCCCUUCGGUGUA